GGGGCAAAACAAAUUGCUUGGCGCCCGCUUUGAUGGAGUCUACUUGGGAGCAGUGUUUCUAGGUUUUGGUGGCUGAAAAUAUAUGGUUACACUCAUUCUCUGAUAUUGAUAUGAUUAACUGCUUGUGAGUUCAUGAUGGAAAGCUCAUGGAGGAGACAAUUUUGAAAAGCCUGGGAACUUCCAUAUGCUGUGGAUGCAGCCCUAAAAAGCAAAAAAAAAAGAAGAAGAAAGAAAGAGAUACUGAAAAAGUCUCUGGAGCAGAUCACUCAAGAUCUCUAACAAGAUCGAAAUCUGGGGUUCAGCCUGUGCUCCAGUCUCAUUUAAAGGCGUGACUAAGCCAUCAACAGAUGAAUGGGUGAAGAAGAUGUGGUAUAAGUAUGCAAUGGAAUACUAUUCAGCCAUAAAAAAGAAUGAAACAAUGCCAUUUGCAGCAACAUGGAUGGACCUAGAGAUUAUCAUACUAAGUGAAGUGCCAAGGACAACGUGAAGGACGAGUAUGAAACUUUGUUAAGCCCUGUACGAUCUGCCACCUUGAGAAGAGCAAUGACUUCCUAUUGAGCAACAUGGUCAGCCUGAUGGGAUUCACCAGUCCCAGUAGCUGACCUUCCUCAGAUUCCCUGGGGGGACAAACCCAAACCCAAUUGGUAAACAGGAAGCGAGGAAGCCCAUUGAUUUAACUUAUAGAUUAGUCUCUGGAGGCGGGAGCUUGCAGGGGUGUAAACGGAGAGGAGAACUCAGGAAAGAAGUCCAGGCAGGCUUGGAUUCCCAUUCAGGUUCUACUCUACCAUCCAACCACGCAUUCCAGUGCUGGCCUCCAUCCACAGAACUUAUAUUUGUCAAAAUAAUUCAUGGCCCAGGAUGAUCUUAUCUUCCUCUGGUGAAUUUUGUUUGUUGAAUGCCUGGAAUUUCUUUAAUCCAAUUUCAGAGUUUGAGAAUUUUUGUUUUGUUUUUUUUUUUUCUGGGUUAAUCAGGUGUCUAGAGACAGGGUUGCUGUCCAUGGAAGUGUCAGUCUACUCCUACACUACAUUGUCCUUUCUAUUGUCCUAACAGGUGUUGUCAAAAAUGCAGUUCAGUCUCCCAGCUGCCUAAUUCAGAUCCACCAAAAUUGCUAGACCAAAAGCAGCCUCCACUGUAGGCACACCCUCUGAAUCCCUGGCCUUUCUUCCAGAAUCUGGCCAGAUAUUUCAUUAAUUCUUUGAUGCCUUUAUUUUAAAUUUUGUCCAGCAUUCUUAGUCUUCUUCAGUGAGAAGGUUCAUCAGUAUUACUUAAGUUGUCAUAAUCAGAUGCAGAAAUCUCUCCCUUAUAUUUCUCUAGCUCUUUAUUGGGAAUUUUUUUUUUGCCCUACCAAAAGUUAUUCUCAAAGGUGUCCCAAGGACAGUCUCUAAGUGGAAGUGGGAUGGACUCUGAGUGAGAAUACCAUUUUGAUCAGCAAACUUCAGUUCUGCUGCCCUGCUUUUUUAAAGUGUAAAGAUGUCAUGGACUCUUUGCAAUAUUAUAAUUCUAUCUUUCAUUGACUAUGAUUUAAUCUUUGCCAAAAGCCUCUAGGAAAGCCUGCUAUUUGUGGUAAAGAGCUAAGCUAUAUGUUACUUCUCUAGUUCCUGAAUUCCUUUUUUCCCCGAUGCAGAAUGCCAAGUUGUGAGCUUACAAUGAACAGUAUAAUCCCUUCAGUUCUUAAUUAAGAUCAUAGAACCAGAAAGCAUUAUAUCUGACAUAAUUAUUUCAGAUUCCUCUGAAAUGCCUUCACUGAAUUAAUAUUUAAUUUUAUGUUCUUAGCUUUAAAAAUACGAAAUCCAAAUUUAAAGAACACAUAUAAUUUUUAUAAAUCCACGUUUGAUUGCCCUGUAUUGCCCAGUGUCCUCUAUAUCAAAUUCUAUGUAAUAAACCUUUAUAGAAUUCAGUGCCAAGUUAAGACUUGACUCUUCAUAUGAAUAUGUGUCCUUUUCUGUGUUUUUAUUUUGGCAGCCAAAACACAGACCUAAAUUUCUCAAUUGAUUGAGUUCUUAAUUUAUCCCAGCUGCUUGAUACCUCUUUUAUUGGCUUCCUUAUUGAUUUCUAGUAAUUUAAAAUUAUAUUUACCUUGCUUUGUGUAUGGCAUUAAAUCCCACUUGUCUAAAGCUACAGAGAAAGAAGGAAGCUUGUUAGCUAAGGCAAAAGCAAGCUAGGAGCUAGGAGUGUCUCCUACUACCAGGAGACCCGUGCUCAUUUCAGGUUUAAAAUUCACCAUUUUGCCUCUUCAAGAAGAAACCUGAAAGCUCAAGAUAGGCAAAGCAAGUCACAAGGCCAACUCAGGGUCAAAGAGUGACAGACACUCCACCUCUUGAUGGGAGAAGCUGCAAAGAAUUUGUAGCCAUUUAAAAUGGUCAUGGGAGUUCCUGUUGUGGCUCAGCAGAAACGAAUCCAUGAGGAUGCCAGUUCAAUUUCUGGCCUCGCCCAGGGGGUUAAGGAUCCGGCAUUGCCAUGAGCUAUGGUGUAGGUCACAGAUGCGGCAUAGAUCCCCGCAAUGCUAUGGCUGUGGCGUGGGCUGGCAACUACAGCUCAGAUUCGACCCCUAGCCUGGGAACGUCCAUAUGCCAAGAGUGCAGCCCUAAAAAAAAAAAAAAAA
rnacentral:lncRNA from 1 species